UCUAACACUUACCCCAAAAUGGUUACACAAACAUCACACACUGUUUAUCUGCUACCUUAUAUGCUUCUUCUGCUUUUGUUUAUCUCCUCUCAAGUUGGAGUCGGCGAAGCUAUACGCUACGAACUAGGCCCAAAGUCGUUGCCGUGUCCACCAUCGUAUCCCAUGUCUUAUCCGCCUCCUGGACCGCCUUCCAUUUUUUUUCAAGCAUCUUUAUCCCUAAACUCCAAUGGGGUUUCUUUAAUUUUUUUUUUUCGGACUAAAAAAAAAAUUAAAAAGUGCACCAAUCGUGGGUUGUCACGUGUUUUUGGGACCCACGAACAGUGCAUAAAACCCAAAGUAAGCGGUUCUUAUUUCACGCUUUUGGUGACCGAUUUUAAAGAAAUUUGUGGGGCCUACAGAAAAAGAAACUCAUUAACAAACCCCAAUAAUUGUGCUCUAAAUCGCUAAGAGAAAGAGGUCCAUAAAUGAAGAGGAGGAGGAAGGCGGCAUAGUCGCCAAAUUCUGCCAGCCGGAAACCAGUGAGAGCUAAUAUCAGAGAGGGUGGAGUUACUAUAUGCACGUUAAUACCUUGUAGUAAUGAUAAAUGAUCCAUCUAGUUAUCUCAUUAUUAAAAUAAAGUU